rnacentral:lncRNA from 1 species
UUAAUACAGGAAAUGGACUGCUAAUGUCUCUUUGUAGUAAUCAUAUCUAAAGAAUGGUCAAUUUUGCAGUAAUCAAUUACCAAAACAUCUUUCCUUGCAACUGCCCAACAAAGCUAAGAGAUGCUGACGACCUUGUAAUUUUGGGCCAACAGGUCUACCUGACAUUUCUGAUAAUGCUGGAAAGAAUUAGGUAGGUCUGCAUCUGGUUUAGGAAUCUAAGGUGGGGCAACUCCGAGCCAUAAUCAAGCAAAAACAACAGAUGUGUUAUUCUAAUUCUCCUCCUUGAAAAGUUUUACUAAUCAUACAGACAGAAAGAUCAUUUUCUUGCCAUCCAUAGGCUAUCUACCCUCUGCAGGCUCUCUCUGCCUCUCCAAAUCCGUCGUCACAAUCUUGCAUUUUCUCAUCCUUACCACAGAAGAUGCUUCACCUUGAGGACUUAAAAAGCUGGGGCUUUUAAGCAGCAGCAAAAAAAAAACUAAAAAAAAACAUUACAGAUCUGCCAUCCCCUGCAAACAAAAUCAUCAUACCAGACUCAAAGCUAUUUAAAGAAAUUCAUAAACUUUACCAUAGAACCCACAAACUUAAAUUAAUACAACUGAAAAAGGGAAAAAGCAAAGUUGCCUGUCUUAGGAACGAGGGCCUGCUCUCCUUUGAAAACACCAGGCACCACAGCAUCAACUUUUCAACUCUAAGUUGAACAGAGGGAAAGUUGUGAGGCCAAAAAAAGACGUGACAGUUGAAAAUGGCUUGAAUCUGUUCCAAAGCUGCUGAGGAUUUGAUAUUUUCAGAUUUUGUGGGUUAAAAGGUUUGCGUUUCUUGGGCUUGGUUCCUGCUUUCACAGUUGCUUUCAGAGCCCAUUAUGUAUCUAAGUUCUUGUAAAGUUGAAACCACCUAUUCCUCUGAUUUGCCUUCACUUGUAUGUUGUCUAAUUAUAUAGUACCCAAGGAAUCCAGCUAGAUCUGCUCAAAGGGCGAGUCUGGCAUCUAUCUUAUAUACCACUAUAUUGUUUAUUUUGCUUGUAUGUUGUUGUUGCCUUGAAUCUCAAGCAUGUAUCAUCUCUUAAAGUCUGCAAACAAAAGGAGCAAGAAAGGGGUAAAAGCUGAGAUGGUGGAGAUUAGCGAGGGACAAAAACGCACAAGAGAAGGACAAAAAGAAGUGAGGGAAAAAUCCGAAAAAAUAAGAAAGGAGUUGAGAGUAAUUAAGAGAGGAAACUAAUGUAAUCUCCCUCUUUUAGCUUCCUCUAAUCUUGAUGAUGAACCUAAGAGUGGGAGAUUAGAUUAGUUUCCUCUCUUUAAUUACUCUCAUUCUUUUCUUACUCCUUCGAUAUUUUCCCCUUACUUCCUGUCCUUUUCUUGUGCGUUUAGGUCACUCGCUAAUCUCCACCAUCUUCAGCUUCUAUCCCUUUCUCGUGCCUCAGCACUCUCUGUUUGCAAGUCUAAGGAAUGAUACUGUGCAUGUUAGAGAUUCAAAAACAAAAACAUUGAAGAACAGCUAAAAAAUGAUAAAUACAUUAUACCAGACUCUCCCUUUGAGACCCUCUUGCUGGAUUCCAUUUCGCAACUAGCUUGAAUCCAUGUCGCUUCUCUUCUACUCUGUGAUACCAAAU